UAGUAGUAGUAGUAGUAGUAGUGGUGGUGGUGGGGGUAGUAGUAGCAGUAGUAGUGGUGGUGGGGGUAGUAGUAGCAGUAGUAGUGGUGGUGGGGGUAGUAGUAGCAGUAGUAGUGGUGGUGAUGGGGGUAGUAGUAGUAGUAGUAGUGGUGGUGGGGGUAGUAGUAGCAGUAGUAGUGGUGGUGGGGGUAGUAGUAGUAGUAGUAGUAGUGGUGGUGGGGGUAGUAGUAUCAGUAGUAGUAGUUGAUGGGGCUUUCUGCACAGUACACACUAAGAGGUAUUGAAAACGCUCUACUUUAUGUUUGAUUGAGGGAGUGGGCCACGGUCAAUUUCUCAAUCUAGAUAUUCAUUGGAACAUGCUAUAUAGAACCUGUUGC
ensembl:lncRNA